rnacentral:rRNA from 1 species
GACGAACGCUGGCGGCGUGCUUAACACAUGCAAGUCGAACGGAAAGGCCCUGCUUUUGUGGGGUGCUCGAGUGGCGAACGGGUGAGUAACACGUGAGUAACCUGUCCUUGACUUUGGGAUAACUUCAGGAAACUGGGGUUCAUACCGGAUAGGAGCUCCUGCUGCAUGGUGGGGGUUGGAAAGUUUCGGCGGUUGGGGAUGGACUCGCGGCUUAUCAGCUUGUUGGUGGGGUAGUGGCUUACCAAGGCUUUGACGGGUAGCCGGCCUGAGAGGGUGACCGGCCACAUUGGGACUGAGAUACGACCCAGACUCCUACGGGAGGCAGCAGUGGGAAAUAUUGCGCGAUGGGCGGAAGCCUGAUACAGCAACGCCGCGUGCGGGAUGACUGCCUUCGGGUUAUAAACCGCUUUCGCCUGUGACGAAGCGUGAGUGACGGUAAUGGGUAAAGAAGCACCGGCUAACUACGUG